rnacentral:lncRNA from 1 species
GAUCUUAAGAUCUUAAUAAGGGUCUGUUUGGUUCAUUGUGGAAUGCAGACCUACUCAACUUGUUAGCUUUUUUGUGUCUUUUGUCAUUGGGCGUGCAGAAUGUUAGAUCUAUUUAAGCCAAUAAUAAAUAAUCAAUAAUUCUUCCCAACGUCUAGACUGUUAAUGCAAUAUGUGCGAAUUAAACUUGCGCCACUGACUCUAAUACCACUUUUGGAUCAGAAGCGCUAAUUUACUAUUCUAAAAGUACGUGCUGAUAGCAAGAACGCACUUAUCGCACUUAAGGACUCAAACACAACGCUUAUAGGCUUUGACUUGACUUAAUCAAUUUGAACAUUUGAUCUAUCAUUGAGCAUCUUACUGUUAGGUUUAUUAUGUACUGCAGCCUUCCCCAACUUAUUGAGUUCAUUCAUUUCAACUUUUAAGUUUACUGAAUAUAUUAUCGUGGAGUAUAAAAUUGAUCCUACUUUAGUUAAUAAUAAAUAGCCAAUACA